rnacentral:rRNA from 1 species
CCCUUAGAUGUUCUGGGCCGCACGCGCGCUACACUGACGAAUGCAACGAGCUUAUAACCUUGGCCGAAAGGUCUGGGUAAUCUCCAAAUUUCGUCGUGAUGGGGAUAGAUUAUUGCAAUUAUUAAUCUUCAACGAGGAAUGCCUAGUAAGCGCAAGUCAUCAGCUUGCGUUGAUUACGUCCCUGCCCUUUGUACACACCGCCCGUCGCUCCUACCGAUUGAAUGGUCCGGUGAAGCGUUCGGACCGUGGCCUUUGGACGGUUCGCCGUCUGUUGGCUGCGGGAAGUUCGUUAAACCUUCUCAUUUAGAGGAAGGAGAAGUCGUAACA